CAUUCUCACAUUAGUUUCCAUCAUUCUCUCAAGAAGAAGCUAAUUAAACACUCACCACUGCCUUAUAUAUAUCAUGAAAGUGAAACUCAAGAAAGAGCUGGUAGAGGUGAAGAUUCAACGCCGAUUAUCCAAGCCUUGUGGGUCUCUUUACAUGGUGGUGGACCGACAGGAACAACUUUGGAGGAGCAAUUCAUUACUGGAUACAAAUACUCGUGACCUAAAAUUUAGACACAACUAAUUCAAAACAUCAAACUCAUGAAAUUACAAUAAAAAUACAUAAACUGGAAAUUAAUCGGUAAAGAAUAGAAGAAUUAUCAAGUGACUUUCAUUUUUCUCUUUAAUUUUUUUUUUCCUUUUCACUUUUCAUCUAACCUCCCUAUUUCCUUAUCCCCGUUUAGCUAACAAGAAUCCAUCUCCACAUUUCAAUUUUACAAAGUGUUAUCUCGAUCUCACCCAUUUUCUCUAUCGCUUUCUUUUCAAUAUUUUCACCAUAGAUUCUCGUUCCAUAACCAACCCCUAAUAACAGCAUCAGUCCUACAUCAUUUGAUGUAGAGGCUGCAUAGAAAGCGGAACCCAGCUCAAUCAGAAAGAUGAUAGCGGUGGCAUCCAUCACCAUCGGGAUUUAGUUUGGAUGGGCACUACAACUCUCCCUAUUGACGUCUUAAACUCAGCUGAUCGAGGUCUCGUUCAAGUGGUCACCCUUCAUCUAGCUCUGCAGACCCAUCUUUGAGUUGGUCGUGGGCUCGCAAAGCUAGAUGCUGACGAGGACACUUGUACGAGACGUCGAUCAGCUGGAUGUAAGGCGUCAGCAGCGAUAGCUGCAGUGCCCAUCCAAACUGAAUACCGAUGGUGAUUGAGGCGACGGCUAUCAUCUUUUAGAUUGAGUUGCGCUCUGCUUUUUGUGUAGUCUCUACAUGAAAUGAUGUGGGAAGAAAUGUUGUAAUCAUGGGAGGUGUGGAAGUGGAAGGAGAAUCCAUGGGAAAAUAUUGAAAAGAAAGAGAUAGAGAAAGUGGUGAUAGAGAAAACUUUGUGAAAGUGGUAAGUGGAGAUGAAUUCUUGGUAGUUGCUGGAACGGAUGGAAGAUGAAAAGUGAAAAGGAACAAAAAUUAAAGAGAAAAUAAAAAGUCAUGUGAUCCUUCUACCACUAUAAGAAUAUAUUGUUUAAGCAUCUUAAUUAAUUUAGCGUCGGCUACAACAUCAACGCUAAAUUUGAUCUGUUAGCGUCGGCCAAUCAUAUUCGAAGCUGACAAAGCGACAAACAAAAACCCACUUUAAUUUAGUGUUAGCGUAACCGACGCUACUUUGCGUCUUCUUAGUAGCCCCCUAGCGUCGGUUUAGGCAAACAGUAAUAUCACUAGCCAUUGUAGCAUCUGCCCGCAGACAAAAAGCGACGACUAACGGCAGACGGUACAUUCACCUGCCAACAUAGCAUCAACUUUAACUGAUGCUAAUUACAUGUGGAUGCGACCCUUUUGAUGGUUGAGAACAAUAUUUCACUCUUUCACCUUCUUUCGGGAUUCUCCCUGCGCCGCCGCCCCUUUCCCAUCUCAGCUGCCCCUCCCACUUACCUGACGCAAGUGACAAACAAAAAGACACUUUAAUUUAGAGGCGGCUUAACCGACGCUACUUUGCAUUAUCUUAGUAGCCCGACCCUAGCUUCCGUUUAGGCAAACACUAAUAUCACCCGCCAUUGUAGCAUCCGCCUGCAGUGAAGGUCUCGAACCCGCUUCACUAUUUCUCAGAUUUGUCUAGAAUUAAGGUUUGGUACCAUAAAAGUUGGACACCCCUCUUAGCCUAUCGAAAUCUGCAAUUGGAACAAACACUGGUUUGUCUUCAGCAGAAGGGGCAUGUGGUUCUUCUUUGGGGUGACUUGCAUUCUGUGUUUGGUUUUGGAACAGUGGGCUUUCGAAGCCACAAUUGAUUUAUCCUAGUAUCUUGUGUGAGUCAUGUUGGGUUUUCUUAUGUAAACCAGUAUUUUAAUUUCUUUUUGUUUUAUAAUAUUAUAUUGAGUUGGGGAACCCUUGUGCAGCCCAUUAAUUAAUUUGGCUUAUCAAAAAAUAAAGUUGGGGAACCCUUGUGCAGCCCAAUCUUCAAGCCUCCAUGAAGUUGGUGUUGCUAUUCCGCCAUGCUCUUCCUCACCUCCAUCGAGUGCACAAGUUGCUCUGUGCAAUAAAAUAGAAGGGUUUUUUUUACGUUGCUCCGAUAUCCUUUCAAAAUGGGAGAGUUUGUAACCCUUCAAGUCAUUAUUUAAGAGCAUAAAAACUAAAUUACAAAUUUUAAAAUUUUAUUAUAAGAAAUCAUGGCAACUUAAGCCUCUAGGGUAUGAAACCCCUUCCAGAAAAUUUGCUUUUAUUUAUAUUACCAAGGUAUCUCACAAUCGGCAAUCAUGCAACUAAUCCUCUCGAGGCUCGGAGAUCACGAUAAGUUGAUAGGUCUCUCCCAACAAAUCCUAAUGAUAUUUAAUUAAUAUACAUACAGCAGACAACACAUAGGUGAUAUGAGUUUGAUACAUCAACCAAGUAAAUCUUGACGAAUUGAUAAUUUCAGCUAGAGUUAGACCAACAUAAUAUCUAAAAGAUUUCAGGUGCAACAAUUCAUGUUAUGUAGGGUAUAUAAAGGUGCAUUUAAAUUGUUACAGGGUCGUUGAUCACACCCAAGAAAUCAUCUUUAAUGGUACCUAUGCAGAACUGCAAAAGAAAAACAGGGGUAAGGCACAAUAUUAGAUAAAUGAGCUCCAGAAGACACUUGGAGCCUAAAAAUCGAUAAAUAUACCAUAUCCAAAGAACAAAGGCAAAGCAAUUUAAAAGACCAUUACUUGUGCAUUAGUACUAUAAAGCAUGUACAUCAGUAUCAAAACUCAUCAGGAAUUAGUACAAAAACCAGUGUCAUAUGCUUGCUAAAAUUGCCACUAGACUACAAGGCCAUUGGCAUCACGAGUUAUUGAAGACAUCUUCACACAGCAUAGAAUAUAAUCAUGGCAGGAACAAAAAUCAGACACGUGACACCAAAAAGGUGCUCUACUUAUUUUAUCAUAAUUUUCUCAGUGCAUCCAGUAAUUUGAGAAAUUUGGAGGAACUAGCAUAAACUAAAAGACUCUUUAAUGAAGAACUUAUGCAAAGAGAUCUGCAGAGAAAAAAGCUAUAUAUGCUAUAAACAUCUUUCAUACCCUAUAAAUUUGAAGUUUCAAAGAAGUAUUUAGCAUAAAGCUAAUGGGUCUUAACAGCAUUCAUGAAGCAAAGUAAAAGAUGUAUAUAUAUAUAUAUAUAUAUUAUAAAAUUAUGUAUUUCGAUAAAUGAAAAAAUAUUAAAAUAAAUAUUUUUUGACAACACAAUUAAUGUUUAUUACAAACUCAAAAAGUUGAUAAAAUAUUUUUUAAUAUGUAAGUCAAAAGUUGACACUUGAGUUUAGCAUGUGUGUUUUACAUGUAUAGAAGAUACUACUGACUACUGUAGAUGGCAGAUAGAUAGAUUUAUUUAUAGAAGAUAGAUGCAUUUAAAAACAAAUAAAAAAUAGAUAGAUAUUUACCAAAAAUCAUUAAAACAGAACGAUUUCCAAAAUUAUUCAUUAAGUGGUUCGAAUUAAUACAUUAUUUUCAAUUUGAAAAGGCUUGGCAUGAAAAAUCACGCCCAUGCGUGUUGAAAACGGAAACACACUUUCAGUCCAAGGGUCAUCAAUCAUAGUUGUCUUCAUUUUGACUAUAAAAAGACCUCUUUCGGCCAAAAUAGGUAACCACAUUCACAACAAACCCUAAACCUUAUCUUUCUCAUUACUGUGUAAAAUACACCACUUGAAACACCAUGCAAAGUGGCUCAGUCUGGGCAUACAACGACAGGCAAUUCGCUAUCGUGUGGAAAAGAGAAGAGCAAACCAUUUUCUUCAUACCGAAGAACUUUUGAAAUCAAUGGGGUGACGAGAUUCGUCCUGAAGUUGUUAUAUCAGACCCUGCCGGAAACUGCUUUGAGUGCGUAAUCAAACGAACGGUUAGGCAUAUUUCUGGGUGGACUUCGCAAUGAAGGUGAUUCGCCGCUACCAAAUUAACCGUCCUGUUCGAAUGCAUUUCGAGCUGAUCAACGGCGGCCAAUUACUCAUGAGAAUCACGAUUCACGGCGAAGGGGAGAUCUCGUACCCCAUCGUCAAAAGUUGGCCGCUGCUGUCUUAGGAAUCACCCAUGAGCAUGUUUUAAGGCCCCCUUUUUUUUUUCCUUUAGUGUUUGUAUGUCCCAUCUCAUCUUCUUCCUUCACACAUCAAUGAAAUGUGAUUUUUCUCCGUCAGAUCAGUGUGAAAAAUCCAAGAUUGCUGUUUA